AUCAAAUGGUUCUGUGGUUAGCACUUUGGACUCUGAAUCCAAGGAAUCGAGUUCAAGUCUCGGCAGAUC